ACAAGCGGUGGAGCAUGUGGUUUAAUUCGACGCAACGCGAAGAACCUUACCUGGGCUUGACAUCUGGGGAAUCUCAUGGAAACAUGGGAGUGCGGAGCAAUCUGAACCCCAAGACAGGCGCUGCAUGGCUGUCGUCAGCUCGUGUCGUGAGAUGUUGGGUUAAGUCCCGCAACGAGCGCAACCCUUGUCUCUAGUUGCCACCAUUCAGUUAGGCACUCUAGAGAGACUGCCGGUGAUAAACCGGAGGAAGGUGGGGACGACGUCAAGUCCUCAUGGCCUUUAUGCCCAGGGCUACACACGUGCUACAAUGGAUCGUACAAAGGGUCGCGAACCCGCGAGGGGGAGCCAAUCCCAAAAACCGGUCCUCAGUUCGGAUUGGAGUCUGCAACUCGACUCCAUGAAGUUGGAAUCGCUAGUAAUCGUGGAUCAGCAUGCCACGGUGAAUACGUUCCCGGGCCUU
rnacentral:rRNA from 1 species